CCUACGGGAUGCAGCAGUGGGGAAUAUUGGGCAAUGGGCGCAAGCCUGACCCAGCAACGCCGCGUGAAGGAAGAAGGCUUUCGGGUUGUAAACUUCUUUUCUCAGGGACGAAGCAAGUGACGGUACCUGAGGAAUAAGCCACCGCUAACUACGUGCCAGCAGCCGCGGUAAUACGUAGGUGGCAAGCGUUAUCCGGAUUUACUGGGUGUAAAGGGCGUGUAGGCGGGACUGCAAGUCAGAUGUGAAAACCAUGGGCUCAACCUAUGGCCUGCAUUUGAAACUGUAGUUCUUGAGUACUGGAGAGGCAGACGGAAUGCCUGGUGUAGCGGUGAAAUGCGUAGAUAUUAGGAGGAACACCAGUGGCGAAGGCGGUCUGCUGAACAGCAACUGACGCUGGGGGGCAAAAGCGUGGGGAGCAAACAGGAUUAGAUCCCUAGUAGUC
rnacentral:rRNA from 1 species